UAAGUUUAAUCGUUUAUCGAGAAACCGCGAACGGCUCAUUACAAUGGCCAUGAUUUACUUGAUCUUGAUUAUCUAAAUGGAUAACUGUGGAAAAGCUAGAGCUAAUACAUGCACUARAGCUUUGUCCUUACGGAAAAGCGCAUUUAUUAGAACAAAACCACGCGGCUUCGGCUGCUUCUUGUUGACUCAGAAUAACUAAGCUGACCGCAUGGCCUUGUGCCGGCGGCGUGUCUUUCAAGCGUCCACUUUAUCAACUUGACGGGAGCAUAAUCGACUCCCGUGGUGGUGACGGAUAACGGAGGAUCAGGGUUCGACUCCGGAGAAGGGGCCUGAGAAAUGGCCACUACGUCUAAGGAUGGCAGCAGGCGCGCAAAUUACCCACUCUCGGCUCGAGGAGGUAGUGACGAGAAAUAACGAGACUGUUCUCUUUGAGGCCGGUCAUCGGAAUGGGUACAAUUUAAACCCUUUAACGAGUAUCAAGCAGAGGGCAAGUCUGGUGCCAGCAGCCGCGGUAAUUCCAGCUCUGCUAAUACAUAGAAUUAUUGCUGCGGUUAAAAAGCUCGUAGUUGGAUUCGUAUCGGUACCUUGGAACCCUUCGGGUGUCUCUAGGUGUUAUCGAUUUAUCGUAAUGUUCGGUUUUGAGUCCUUAACAGGAUUCUUAACAGGCAUUGCAAGUUUACUUUGAACAAAUCAGAGUGCUUCAAACAGGCGUUUUCGCUUGAAUGAUCGUGCAUGGAAUAAUAGAAAAUGAUUUCGGUUCAGUUUUAUUGGUUUUACGGACUGAGAUAAUGGUUAACAGAGACAAACGGGGGCAUUUGUAUGGUCCCGUGAGAGGUGAAAUUCUUGGACCGUGGCCAGACAAACUACAGCGAAAGCAUUUGCCAAGAAUGUUUUUAUUAAUCAAGAACGAAAGUCAGAGGUUCGAAGGCGAUCAGAUACCGCCCUAGUUCUGACCGUAAACGAUGCCAACUAGCGAUCCGCUGAUGGAAAUUAUAUUGCCUUGGUGGGGAGCUUCCCGGAAACGAAAGUCUUCCGGUUCCGGGGGAAGUAUGGUUGCAAAGCUGAAACUUAAAGGAAUUGACGGAAGGGCACCACCAGGAGUGGAGCCUGCGGCUUAAUUUGACUCAACACGGGGAAACUCACCCGGCCCGGACACUGUGAGGAUUGACAGAUUGAUAGCUUUUUCAUGAUUCAGUGGAUGGUGGUGCAUGGCCGUUCUUAGUUCGUGGAGUGAUUUGUCUGGUUUAUUCCGAUAACGAGCGAGACUCUAACCUACUAAAUAGUUGGUACAUACUCUUUGUGUAUACAGCUUCUUAGAGGGAUUUGCGGCGUUCAGCCGAAAGAAAUUGAGCAAUAACAGGUCUGUGAUGCCCUUAGAUGUCCGGGGCUGCACGCGCGCUACACUGGCAAAAUCAACGUGCUUGUCCUACCCCGAAAGGGGCGGGUAAACCAUUGAAAAUUUGCCGUGAUUGGGAUCGGAAAUUGCAAUUAUUUUCCGUGAACGAGGAAUUCCAAGUAAGUGCGAGUCAUCAGCUCGCGUUGAUUACGUCCCUGCCCUUUGUACACACCGCCCGUCGCUGCCCGGGACUGAGCCAUUUCGAGAAAUUUGGGGACCGUUGAUUUAAUUUUUCUAAAUUA
rnacentral:rRNA from 1 species